AUGAUUAUGGCGAAAUCGGUAAACGCAAUUAAUUUAGGUUUAAUCCUUUAUGGGUUCAAAUCCCAUUAAUCAUA
rnacentral:tRNA from 1 species